UGGAACGUAGCUCAGUGGUAGAGCAGCUGGCUUUUAAACAGCGUGUUGAGGGUUCAAUUCCUUCCGUUCCGA
rfam:Clostridium sp. CAG:7 genomic scaffold, scf280